AGCAGGAGAGAGGACUCUUUAAAGUAGAGACACUACAUACUGAUAUACACCUGAACAUCAGCAGGAGAGGGACUCUUUAAAGUAGAGACACUACACACUGAUAUGAACCUGAGAAUAGCGUCAUAGGCCCCUAAUACAACUAAGACGUCACACAUUGAUCUUCUGACCCUUUACGAACUCUCUAAAUACACAAUUUUUCACAUAAGAUCUCACUGAAUUCUCCCCGGGUGAGCUCUGGUUUAACUUACAUUACUACUGUUAGAACCCUUUUGCCUCAGCUCUGGUUUGGAAACACUUUCUCCCUCUCCUGUUCACACUCAUUGACUCUAACACACCUUUGCCAACAAGCCUUAACAAGGUCACAGAUUUCUUAAACCCUUGCUGACACACUGCGGCCCCCCCCUCACCGACACACUGCCACAGUGCUGUGGGCUUUUUGCCAGACUCUUCAGCUGCCCCCAUGUCCAGGAGGACGAAGAGCAGGUGUGUGAGGCAGAUCCCGACGACUCUACGUUCGAUUUGGAGAAAACGGAGGAGGGGUUCGGAUCUGAAGGAGGUGAUUGUGGAUCAGCUCACCAAGAAGACCUGCUGGAGGGAGAUCUGGGACUCGGCACCGAUCCUCCUGCUAUCACCUGAAGCUGCAGGAUUCACCUCCAAUCCUAUACCUGCCCUGAGGAAAUGUCCAUGAGUGGGGUCAUCUGAGAGGAGCCAAUCGGGAGUCAGUAGCCUCCCGAAAAAAAGGUCAUGCACUCCUCUUGUUCUGACGCGCAUGCAAAGACACACUCGGGGAGAAAUGACUUCCUGCUGCACUGCUUUGGCUCCAGUUAAGGAAUUUAAUAGAUCCUGCUUUUUAAGUGUGUGCUCGCUCGGUCUACUUUUCACACAGAAAACACACUUUAAAUUCCAGUACAGCAGCUCGAAGCUUUACAGUUAGGUCUUUGCUUCUGGCUUUUUGGGGACAAUUACUUAUGAAUAUCUGCUGUGAUUGAAAGCCACUGUAUUUCCCUUAAUAAGCAGAAAUGGUAUUUGCGUGCCAACCUCCCUAACUCCUUAUUAAACUUGUAUUGCACUGUUUUCCGCUACAAUCCUUUAACUGAUUCAAAAUGUUUAUUUAUCACCACUUGCUUAUCAUGGGCUAGAAGACCUCCAGAGUGUAUUAACAGCAUUUGGCAAAGAAGCCGAUUAAACAUGUGAGCAUUUUCUCUGACUUCUUUAUAGAUUGCUCUUUGCUGCUUCCUCAGUGAGUCAUUAUAAAUCUCUGGGGCUACCACCCCCCGCCCCCCCUUUGUGUGAGGCGGGGUGUGUUGUGUAAAGCACAAAUCAAUCUGUGUGUGAAUAUGCAAACUGUUUCCCUCGCAUUAAUAAUAACGCCAUUGUCCUUGAACUUUAACUGAGGCACUGUCUAUGUUGUGAUGUGAAUGCAUGGCUGCAAUCGUUGGAAUGCUGCUCCGUUUCACUCCCUCAAUGGCUGCAAGAAAAAUACAUGCAGUGUCCUUCGUUUUCUACUUGAUUAUAAGAGCGAAGCACCCUCAAUUUACAUCCUUAAAGGAGCCGGUCCUCUUAGAUUUCUCGUCUAAUUUGACUAGUUUUGCUGUGUUUUUGAUCUAUUACCUGAUCAUCCCAACGCAAUGCACAAUAACACAUUCUGUCGGUGAUGAUCUAAAUAUCGAAACAUACAAAUUUGACAUUUUAAAAAUCAAGUGCAGUGUCAGCGCCCAGCGGAGAAACGAGGGCUUGCAAUAGUUCUGAGCUUUUCAUAAAUCAUUUUUGGGCACUUUGAGUAUUGCAAAACCGAAUGUUACUGAGCUGUUUUACUGAAGCGAGAUCAAAUCUGUAAAUCUCAGCGCUCGCAUUGAAAUCUGGAUUGAGUAGGUGGUGGAAAUUCAGCUUUGUUAGACUUUUACCUUUGCAUUCAAGUCAUUUGAUAAAAGUGUAUUUCCCUUUUUGAGCCGAUUUGUCAGAGUGAAUAAUGAAUACAGUAUUUCUAAUUAUUAGGAAGCACACUUUACGACACGUACUUAAAGGCACCCUGUGGAGUUUUUGACCACUAGAAUCAUUAAAGAGGAACAUUGUUUUGGUUCCUUUGUUUGUUUUCGUUCUCACAAAUGCUUAUGCGUGCUAUGAGCCUUUCUACUGAAGUGAAAGCAGCUGUUAAUCACAAGAAAGGCAUCAGCAAAUGCAGACUGCUAGAAAUGAAACAUCGACUUAAACCAGUAAAAUAUGAAUUAAACACCUAUCGCUUAGACCUCCAGAAUACACACAUUUUUGUGGGUGAGAAACGCUGAUGGUAGAAAAUGUGUUUACAGUAAAACUUCACAGGGGGCCUUUAAGUUAUGUAGGCUAAUAGCAACACAUGUGUGACAUUACUCCUGCACUAUGGUUCUCAAAUGGUGAGGAAAGGCACUGGAAAAAGGAAAAAUCUUUGUUAUUAAAAUAUAUGUUAAUAGCAUAUCUUGUUAACAACAGUAUUGAUUACAUCCAGUAUUAUGCUUUUGGUGGUUUUCCCUUUCCCUGUAGUGUGUUUUUUGUGUAUGUAAAUGAGACAAAUAAAGAGCUUUUUGAGCAUUAAAGCAA